UAUGCUAAGUCGAAAACGUUUAGGUGACACUCUCAAGAUGAACAUUUGCCCAAGCUUCGUGACUGUGAUAUUCUUCAUACUUGGUGGAAGGACUUAUGCAGACUCAGUGACACAGACAGAAGGCCAAAUUACUGUCCCAGAAGAGGCUGUGCUGACCAUAAACUGCACUUACACAACCUCAGGGUACCCUACACUUUUCUGGUAUGUGCAGUACCCCGGAGAAGGUCUACACCUCCUCCUGAAAGCCACAAAGGACAAGGAGAAGGGAAGCAACAAAGGCUUUGAAGCCACAUAUGAUAAAGCCGCCAGCUCCUUCCACUUGGAGAAAGCCUCAGUGGAAGCGUCAGACUCGGCUGUGUACUACUGUGCUCUGCGUGACACAGUGGCAGGAACUGCAGGGGGAGCCGAGCACAAACUCUGA